rnacentral:rRNA from 1 species
UACGAACCGUCCAAACGUUAUUCGGAUUCAUUGGGCUUAAAGGGUGCGUAGGCGGCGCUGUCAGUCGGGUGUGAAAGCCCUCGGCUCAACCGAGGAAUUGCGCCCGAUACUGCAGUGCUCGAGGGAGACAGAGGUUAGCGGAACUGAUGGUGGAGCGGUGAAAUGCGUUGAUAUCAUCAGGAACACCAGUGGCGAAAGCGGCUAACUGGGUCUCUUCUGACGCUGAGGUACGAAAGCUAGGGGAGCGAACGGG